UACGGAGGGUGCAAGCGUUGCUCGGAAUUAUUGGGCGUAAAGGGUAGGUAGGUGGUCUCAUUUGUCUGGGGUGAAAUCCUUGGGCUUAACCUAAGAAGUGCCUCAGAAACGGUGAGACUAGAGUCCUGGAGAGGGUCGUGGAAUUCCCGGUGUAGCGGUGAAAUGCGUAGAGAUCGGGAGGAACACCAGAGGCGAAGGCGGCUUCCUGGCCUGUUCUUGACGCUGAGGCGCGAAAGCGUGGGGAGCAAACAGG
rnacentral:rRNA from 1 species